rnacentral:tRNA from 1 species
GGGGGCGUAGCUCAACGGUAGAGCAAGGGCCUUUUAAGCCCGAGGUUGUGGGUUCGAGUCCCACCGCCCCCACCA